rnacentral:rRNA from 1 species
CAGUCGCCGCGGUAAUACGAAGGGGGCUAGCGUUGUUCGGAAUUACUGGGCGUAAAGCGCACGUAGGCGGAUAUUUAAGUCAGGGGUGAAAUCCCAGAGCUCAACUCUGGAACUGCCUUUGAUACUGGGUAUCUUGAGUAUGGAAGAGGUGAGUGGAAUUCCGAGUGUAGAGGUGAAAUUCGUAGAUAUUCGGAGGAACACCAGUGGCGAAGGCGGCUCACUGGUCCAUUACUGACGCUGAGGUGCGGAAGCGUGGGGAGCAAACAGGAUUAGAUACCCCCGUAGUCCCUGUCUCUUAUAC